GUCAGCAUGGCCGAGUGGUCCAAGGCGCCAGACUCAAGUUCUGGUCUUCGUAAGGGGGCGUGGGUUCGAACCCCACUGCUGACA
rfam:Physcomitrella patens subsp. patens PHYPAscaffold_553 genomic scaffold, whole genome shotgun sequence.